ensembl:lncRNA
GGAGAGGAGAGGAGAGGAGAGGAGAGGAGAGGAAAAUACGUGUAGGAGCAGCAUUGUUUUUGUGGAAGAACUCAUUUGAAACUAUGCUAUCUCUGAGCUGCACAAAGAGAAGAGUCUUCUGGCUUUAAUCAGGUUUAAAUUGUUGUUUAUAUUUCAGUAGCCACUGUCCCACUAAGGUAAAUCACAACGUACCCAGCCGCCUUUGGAAUGCAAUUCGGGGCCUGCGGAUUUUCCAGAUAGUGGCAACUCAGAGCAGCCUGCCGCGUUGUGGCACGACCCCGAAAAUGCCAAUUUGGGGUGUUUUGUUUCGGCUUUCUUUCUUUUCUUUUUCUGUAAAUAAUUAGGCAGUCUGAUCAAACCUACGUGCGUUAAGAUGACAGGUGAUACCUUCAACAACACAUUUAAUAGUCUAAGAACUGGAGCGCACAAGAUGUCCCCCUGAGAGGAGAUCUGUGUCCCCGGGUCUGAACAGCUUCAGGGAUUCCCGAGACAAGAGCAGAAGCGGGCGCGUCUAUAGGCCGUGCUCCCACAGUGAGGCAUCGCAAAUCCAUCGGAACAGUGCUCGCUUUUCCCAGCCCACAUCCCCUGGUACCUCCGCGCGGUGUUUCUAUGUUUCCCACCGCAGCGGAGCGCUGCCCCCCGGCCCCGCUCCGUGUCAGUCCCAGCGCCGCACCUCUCGGCGGGAGGUGGGAGAAGGGAAGGACAGACGGGUUGCUUUUUUUCUUCUUUUGAAAGAAAGGAGAGAUGAAAGGAAGAGCGACAGAUGUCAGCGAUCAGCAUAUUGAAGGGAAAAAAAAAGAAGAAAGAAAAAAGCAAAUAUACCUUUACAUAUGUAUCUGUAUUAAAAAUAGCGCGCGGCACAGCCAACAGGAGAGGCGGGAGGAAGGGAGGAAGGGAGCCCGGCCCUCCGACGCCCCCACGGUCCCAUCUCGGGGCCUCCUUGCGCUGCUGCCGCUGAGGUGGCCGCCGGAUUUCUUCCUUCCGCCAAACGCGAUCCCCGGGAACACGCAGAAAUCGCGCCGGGGUCUGCGUCCGCUGCUGCCAGCGGGAGGAUUUGCAAAUUUCUUUUUCUUUUUUUUUUUUCUUAAUGCCCUUAUUUCUUCGAUGUAUGUAAAUGCAGAGGACGUACAGUGACGUCAAAGGACGUGACCCUGCCGCUAAACCUGAACGUGAACGGGAAUGGCGGCGCGGGGGGCGACGGUGAGGCCGGGAAGGGGUAGCGGUAGGGCCCCUUCCGCGGCCGCGCAGCUCUGCGCCUCCGCGCAUCCCACGCACAUGGGCAGAGCAUCCCGGCCCCGCGUGGCCCAGCACAAAGCCCACCCCGCUCCGCCGAGCCGCCCGCUCUCCCCUCCUUAUUUAUUUAUUUAUUUAUUUAUUUAUUUAUUUAUUUAUUUAUUUAUUUUCCCGUUAAUUGAAUGUUAUUUGCUGUUUCGGUUCAUCAGAUGACGAGCGGGAAAUAGGAAACUCAGAACCGUGGGGGGAAAAAAAAAAUAAAUAAAUGUUUAUCGUCCUCUCCAAAAAUGUUACGCGGUGGAUCGCGGUCCUGCAUCCCUACGGGGGCAGCCGUGCCUCGGCGGCACCUGCGGGGCUGAAAGGGGCUGCAAAGGACUGGAAGCGAGCACGGGGCGCGGUGGGGGGUAAAGGCGGCUUCCCACCUCUCCCCCCGUCCAUUUUCCUUUACCCAGGCCCUCCCUUCUCUCGCGGCACUGUUGUUUGCGGGGAUGUGAGAAGAAGUUUCAGCUGCGACGCUGAAUGCCAUCGGCGUCCUGAAAGUGGAGGGUGUUCUCUAUUAGGAUCCAAGCCUUCCUACCUCUUCCCCAGGCGUCUAUUUGCUGUGAUGCCUUCAGAGCAUCUCCCUUCGCCUCGGCACGGUCUCUCCAAUUUGCAUACACCGCACGCUGCCUCCCCUACCCGAGAGUCGGAAUCUGCGCGCAUCCCCAGAGGCCGAGGAUCGCUCUGCGCACCCCCGGGCCCCUCUCGGUCCUCACAGUGCGCCCUUUGUCCCACCGCACCGCUGGGGCAGCGCUGCCGGGGGUUCCCGAGUGCGUGGGCGGAGGGAGGAGGCAGUCCCCUACUGGCAUGCAUACACACAUGUAUACAUACGUACACGCGUGUGUGCGUGGCUGCUACAGACACACACACACCUCCUGCCGUCAGCCCGCCCCCGGCCCCCCGCCACCUGCCCACGCCACCGCGGACGUCGAGCACGGCCGCCAGCGGCCCGCCCCGAAAAGGGCAGCGGGAAGCCGUCCUGACGCCCCUCACCUCCUCCCGUCCUCCGCGCCGCUCCGCUCACCCAAACUUCCGCCCUCACGCCCUAAAACGCGGCGUUUCCACGCAGAUUACGCGCCGCUGGUUCGCGGGAGGCAGCGGAGGAGCCGGGGGAGCUAUGCCGGCGGGAGGGCACGCAGCGGUGUGCGUGGCAGCCUGACUGGGGAGAGACGCUCUCUCUCUCUCUCUCUCUUUUCUUUUUUUUCCCCCUUCUUUUUUCUCUUUAAACAUUAUGAUUUUUUUAUUAUAAUUAUUUUAAUUUUAUUUAUUUGUUUGUUUAUUUUGCAAUUGUCGACCAGUUGUUUGGUUCAGAGGAAAGUUACCCAGAAGGGGAAUGCCACCCAAGGACAGCACUCGGCAGGAGCCGCUCUUCAGAUCACGGCUGGAGAAAGACACCUACAAAAAACUCCACCGCUCGCUGCGUUUGUAAAGGAUGCCGAGCUACUUUAAAGCCAUUUGGCGCAAGAACUGCACCAUGGAGCUACACGGAACUUUUAAAGCAGGAUGAGGAUGGAGGAACGACGUGAAUUCGUGGAGAUUUGCCCGUGGGGAUCUUUGUGCUUGCCUUACCGCCGGGACCGGGGGGGGAGAACCUCCCCCACCCUCGGAGCCGCAGCGAUAUUUAAACAACGCAGACAGAGCACAGGGAAUGACAUCCAAGGCACGACACGAUGCUGUAUUCUCGAUAGUUCUCCUGCUCUUAUUGCACAGUUCGGAUUCGUGCUGACAUCCCCUUGCAUGCCAGCAGCAGUACCGCCGGGUUGCCAGUACGGCGGCACCGCGGUCACCAGAGGGACGAUAAGGGCAGCUCUAUGGGAAGCGGCUCUCCUGGCUGCGGGAGCGGGACGCUGCGGGAGCGCUGCCCGCCGCGAGCUGCCGCGUCGUGGUUCCUCUCCGCGUGAAUUCUGCUCGGCCGUAGUGUGGAAUGGGGUUUGUGCCGUGCUGCACCUCCUCCCGUGGUUCCUGCGCGGAAGGCGGAGUGCCGGCACGGAGCCCGGCUCUGAUUGCGUUAAUUGGAGCGUCGUGAGCAUUCCUCUUUAAGGCAAAUAGGGACUGUUUGUUCUUAAGAAAUCCGUGCAGGAUGCUUCUUCUUUACGUCACAGCCAUCUGGAGACCUAUAAAAAGAUUAGACGACAAGCAUGGCAAUCACAUACUGAUCUACAGGCCAUUAGCAGGAGUUCAUUAGGGAGGUGGGAGGAAAAAGCAAACGUUUGCGUUCUGUGUCUCACAAUAUGCAGCUCGCCUUCCAAAGGCUUUUGGAAUAAGUAAGCUUUGUACUGUUGCGUUAUCUGGGAAUAAAAUUGCACGUAGUGUUGACCGCGGCUGUUAUUCCUGACGGUCAUUGCAGAGCAGCAGGUUGCAUGAACUUUUCACAAGCUGGAAAAUGCUGCAGCCCUGGAUAUGAAUACUCUGUGCAGUCUCACUGCACACGGAUAGACUUCGAGGCCCUGCCAAGUGAUUGAGAGUUAGAGAAUUCAUUUGAUACUGCGGCUAAAGACCAGCUGGUUAUAGCCAUCACGUUGGCUCACUGCUGAAGCUCUCAUGACGGGUGUAUUGUGUUUACUUCUUCAGUCAGUGUGUGAGUAAGCGAGGUGGUGUUGAGGACAGAUCUUCAUGUUUUAAAGGUACAUCUUGCAUCUCUGAAACAUGCUAUUUUUUUUUUUUUAAGCCUUGCAUUUAGCUGUAAAUCUGGUCACAUGGUGACAUGUUUUAAAUGCAUGCGUUACUGUGCACUUACACGUCUGCAUUGAUACGCACCGUACACACACAUAUGUAUGUAUAAGCAUAGACAAAUACACACGACAGCACAAGGAGUACCUGAACCAUCAUGCCUCUCACUGGAAGAAUUCAAUGCACGAGCUCACAGUCCUGUUGUGUGCAACACAUCCACAUACGUUUGAUCACUGAUGCUGCUGCCUCUGGAUGUUGCCACAAAAAGAAAAACAACAACAACAAAAAACACUUUUCUAUCUGUUCAGAAAGAAAAAAAAAAAAAAACAACCUCAUUCGAAUUUUAUAUAAUAUCGAAAUGAUCAUAUGCUUCCAGAUGUCCCACUUGUGCCUGAGCAGCCUGAGAGAUAAUGAAGAAGCAGAGGAAGUGUAAUACAGCCCAGUAGGAACCCUGACCACUCUGUGCAAUCAGCUCCUUGCUCUCUCCUACACUGGUGGCAAUUUGCAGUGACACCUAUACCGGGACAUCUGAUGGGCAUCACAGAAAUAUGCAAACAAACAAACAAACAAACAAAUAAAGCCCAAACUCAGAGGCUGAGGAUCUGAAAGCACUGAUUAGAGACUUCGUUAGUAAUGUGAACCCCGAAUUCAGGGUUUGGCAUCUUCACAGUGUGUAUCUGUUACUUCUUGGGCCUUGUCUGAUAAAGGAGAGCGCUCCCCCAUUUUCAUGGUUUUGUAGUGUUACUUUAUGAUAAAGAAUGGGCAGGCUGGUACUGUGCCAUUUUACAGUGCAACCACACAGCCCUGUCUGUGUAUUUUAAUGUGAAAAUGUACAUGUGCAUUCAUGCAGGCAGACUGACACAUGCGUAUGUGGCUCCCCUACACAUGCACCACCACACAGUCAUUUGUAAUGUAAACAGGCCAUGCACUCAGUACAGAGCUACAAGAACUUAAAUUUUUCUCCAUGCAUUGGAGAUUUUAGCCUUAAAACCAACAACAUAUGCAAACAUAAGUAGAUCUACAAACUGAUUCAUUGAAGUGUGGGUUGAUAUAUCCUCUAUAACUCUAAGGGAAGACAGAGCAGGACAUGCAGGGCUGUGCUGCUUCUCUUAGCAGAGGAUUUUAAGCCCUCCUUCCUUAGAGGAGUGGGUCAGUCCAUAUUCUGCCUGUGCUGAAAUUUCCGAUGGGCAUCCCAUUCCCACUGCAGCAUGCACAAGCUCCUGAAGUGCAUUUAUUAAUUCCAACAGCAAAUAGUGCAGAUCUCGGUGAGAAGAUCCACUGUACCAUGUACACUCGGGAGACCUUUAAUGUUUGCACUUAAGACUUAGGAAAAUUCUAUACGAGUUACAGUGUUAAAUAAUUCAAAUUAUAAUGUCCUUUUUUGGGGGGUGGGGGAGGGGGAAUCGAGAGAUUUAGGUCCUAAAGCUGUGGCAGUUGGGAAGGAGGUGCCCCAUCGGCCCCACGCGUUAUGCAACACGAGUGUCCGCACUCCGCGUACGGGGUUCAUAAACACAAGCGAUAAAUCCGCGUUUUUACGGAGGCUUUUGGCCGAAGAAUGCACAGCUUCGGAUGAGCACUGCUGCAGCUUUUACCUGCACUGCAUUCUAACGCGGACACAGACAGAGGAUGGGAGGAGAGGAGGUGCAGAUGCAAGGAGCCGGGCUAGCAGACUCCCCCAGACGCUCUGCAGAGCCGUCCUGGUGCGAGCACCGAGCCCUGUGGGCGCGCAGCGCCAGCGGGAAGCCAUGGGCGAGCGGCGCUCGGCGGCCGCGGCAAUUGCCGGUGCAGUCACACUCCGUCCCCGCUGCCAGCUCCGCAGGGAGAGGCGGGCGGGGGGCGGCUCCGGCCCCGAGAGCGCCUUCCUCUGCCCGCAGGGGCAGCUCUCCCGCCCCGGAGGAAGGCACGGCGGCGGCG